AUGAUUAGUGAAUGCAGUAAUCACCUCUUAUGUGUACUAAAUGUUCAAUACGAGAAUUUCCUCUGCUCUUUACCCGUGCAGUCUCCCAGCAACUUUGUGAAGCAGCUGUUACUAUCUCAACAUUCCCAGGGGCAGAACAGAGACUCAGAAAGAUGGUUCUCUACCUGGCUGGUGCCAUGCCGCCUGCUAUUUUACUGUACACAUGAUGACAAAGUAAAGGGAAGAUGUGGCCUCCAUGUUGAACAUGGCUGACUCUCAGAGGGUUUCUGAACACUGAGCAUCAGCAUCUCCAGUCUCAUCACGGAGGACACUCAUCCAGAAGCAAAUCUCAGCCAGCAGGAGUGGAGCCAAUGUGGGAGGCUGGAACUGCAGUAAGAUUGCCACUCUUUGGGGCCCAGCCAGGAUCUCAUGCCUACUGCUGAUUUGGUGGCUAUGGUGGACCAUUUCAACAGGUGACCACAUAGAGAAUGGAACAACAUAUUCUUUUUUUUUUUUUUUUUUUUUUUUUUGAGACGGAGUUUCGCUCUUGUUACCCAGGCUGGAGUGCAAUGGCGCGAUCUCGGCUCACCGUAACCUCCGCCUCCUGGGCUCAGGCAAUUCUCCUGCCUCAGCCUCCUGAGUAGCUGGGAUUACAGGCACACACCACCAUGCCCAGCUGAUUUUUUUGUAUUUUUAGUAGAGACGGGGUUUCACCAUGUUGACCUGGAUGGUCUCAAUCUCUUGACCUUGUGAUCCACCCGUCUCGGCCUCCCAAAGUGCUGGGAUUACAGGCGUGAGUCACCGCGCCUGGCCCGGAACAACAUAUUCUUAUGGAAACAGCACCUGUAUGGGGAAAGGCAGGGCAUGUGGGGAAGCACAGGGAACAACACAGAGAAAGAAGAAGCACUUGGGGGGAAACAGUGCUCCUCUGAGCUCAGCAUGCUGCAUUGUCUGCUGGGUGGCUGGCGGAGGACCAGGGCACAGAGCAGUAUUUGACUGUUCAGCUCUUGCUCUGAACAGCUGAGCUAUAAAUGUUCAUACCUCAGCCAGAGGAAAAACAAUCUAAUCUGAAAUUAUAUUCUAGUAAAAAUAAAAAUAUGUUGGGUUGGAAGAAAGAAAGUUGCAUUGCCUUUUGAUUUCACCUCCCACCUCUUUUAUUGCAAGAAUUGUGUUGCUGUUCCUCCAGCUGUGAUAACUCUUUCAGGAAUAAUAAGGGCUCGCACCUGUCUUAAACAGAGCAGCGAAAGAAUGUAUUCCAUCUGCGCUACCUGUUUGUGGAUAUUGAGUUAAUAACUGGCACUUAUAGGCCACCUUAAUAUGCAUUAUCAUUGUUCCCUCAAGGCAGUCAUUGGAGGUAGGUGAGGCAAUCAUCCUGGUAAUAGAUGAGCAAAUGAAGCAUCAGAGAGGUUAAGCAGUUUGUGCAAGGUCACACAGCCAGCAUAUAAGACAAGCUGGUAUGAAGGAAAGAGCUCCACUUUGAGGUCAGAUAGUUCUGGGUUAUCUCUCUUCUGUUACUUACUAGCUGGGUGAACUUAAGUUACUCAUUUUAAUAACUGAAUCUACAUUUCCCAGUUAUUAAAAUGGUAUAGUAAUGCUCACUCCAUAGAUUUAUUAUAAAUUUGAUGAAACAUUUAUAUAAAAAGACCUAAUGUCAGAU
ensembl:lncRNA